CUCCUCACCGAGAACUGCCCCUCGCCGGCGGACUACAAGAGGGCAGCCGGGCAGAGCGAGCUUCCUCUCGGCAGCUCAGCGGUGCCCCUUCUGCAGCUUUGCCGCCGGGCACAUUUUUAUAGCAGCGGCUGGCGUCUGUGGCCCUUUAAAGGCGCUCGAGCUGGUGCAGUCACCGCGGAUCGUGUGAAAGCAAAGGGCCGGCUGGGGAACGGAGUCCACGCGGCCACGCGAGUCCGGCAGCCCUGUGGACCGGCCAAGGCUCCCGGGGUGGGGCUGGCGAGUCCGGGCUAUGGGCAGCCCUCGCCCGGAGCCCUGGCCAGUGCCCGGCUUCUAAAGCUGUCGGGGGCCAGGGCCCGGGACACCGGCUCUCCCCACCGCCCUGCGUGGACUUGCCCAAUAAAUUCCACUUAGUAAUUUCACUGAGGCAAAGGAGAGCCGUUAGUGUCUGUUUUCUGACCUAAAUCUAGUCGGGGGCCAAAACGGGCUUCAGGGGUUUUGGGAGAGAGCUGUGGGCUCAAGGAGUGACCUGGAAGAGCGGGGCGCACACGAGACGGGGGAAUGGUCAUUAGUUUUCUGCAGGGCUGUCUUGGAGCCUGUCUGCCUUUUGGGGGGGCUGUACUAUCUCAUUCGUUGAAGAGCUGAGGCUGGGGGCUCCUUUUCCUCUUAAAGUCGCCAGAUUCUGGGCAGAGUCGCAUGGGGGGCCUAUAUGGCAGCGGUGGCUCUUCUAGAAGUUCUGAGCUGGGGUUGGGUUCGAGGGUUUCUGUUCUGUGGUCAUCCAGGGCAGGAGGCUGGCAGGAUGCGACCCGGAGAAAUGCUACUCUCCCGGACCGUGGGGCCAGUAGCCCCAAGUGCCCUGCAUUUGCUCUUCUAACAAAGUUCUGUUUGUUGACGGACUGACCGGCUUACCGACACAAAGAUGGGAAGCAAAUGGAGAGACGGAUCAAGGCCCUUCCUCGGCAUCUGGAGGAAGCUUGGGCGAGUGUCUUGGUCGCCAGAGAUGGGGUUUCAUGAUGUUGCCCAGUUCUUGAACUCCUGAGCUCCAGUGAUCAGUCUGCCUCGGCUGCCCAAAGUGCUGCGAUUACAAGUGUGAGCCACCGCGCUGGCCUAUAAUGUGUUCUUUACUCAUGUAUAUGUUUUUUAAUUUCCAUAAUAAAUUUUUU
rnacentral:lncRNA from 1 species